rnacentral:lncRNA from 1 species
CAAAUCCUUAUAAACGAGCAUUCUUAAGAUAUUACUUGACAAAUGCUGUAGAAGGCGUUUAUUCAACGGUGACACAUAUUAAUGUGUUGGGUGUGUAUGUGUGUGUUGAGGGCUGCGAGGAAGGUAGUAACUGUAGUGUUGUGUGCGUCGCAGGUCCCCAUCAUCGCCAGCAAGGUGUGCGAGGCGGUGUACGAGGACUACUUCAUCACUUCCAAUAUGUUCUGCGCCGGCUACCGCAAGGGCCGCGUCGACUCGUGUGCCGGGGACUCCGGAGGACCGCUUCUGUGUCACCGCUACGGCAGAUGGUACAUCUAUGGCAUCACGUCGUUCGGGGAGGGUUGCGGUAAGCGGGGUAAGUUUGGCAUCUACGCCAGAGUGUCCAACUACCGCCACUGGGUACAGAGCGUCAUCUCCACUCCCUACCCCUGAACAAUGCUCCCUACCUUCACUCAUGCCCUCAACUUCGAGCGCUGCUCUCGUCCUCGAACGACGUGCUGGAUCUUGAAGGUUUUCCUGCCCAUCAUCCGUCAAGAUAACCCUGAUCCUUGACUGCUCGUCGUCUGAAUACUGCCCAAGACUUUAAAACAAACUCUGGCACUUGAGCACAAUGUGUUACCCUCUAAACAUUAUCGCUAGUCAUUAUAUUUAAUACCCCUGACUCUUAAAUACUGGUUCUAACAUUUGAAAAUGACCUCUUACCACUGAAUUGUGCCACUUGUCCUUAAAUACUGCCACUGACCCUGGAACGAUGGGUGGGGCUGGAUGAAGGGGCUGGAGCAGGCACGACAGUAAUCAACAGGAGGUCCACCAUGAGGGGUGGAGGCCAGGACCGGGUCGUCCUCGCUGCGGCACCAAGUCACAAUAACAGAGGGAAACACUAAGGCUUCAAGAACCACCAGUCAGCAAAGGGUGACAACACUCAAUGUACUCAUCUGUCGUGGAUCUUGACUCAUUCUAAUGAGUAUUAUGUGAGACUUGUCUGUCAGUCAGUCAGAGAGAAAUGCUAUGAUGGCCUUGUGCUAAGCGAAGAUGAACUAUGGUUGUGAGUUUCACAGAUGAAGGCGUGAUCAAGUCUUCACGCCUGACGGACGUACACAAACUCCUCAGACAAAUAGAGUGAAUCAGAUCACCUAUGACGAGCGCAGAGGAGCGUCGCAGGUACCAUCACCAUCAGUGAUGGGAGCCAGUGGAAAAGGGAGAGACCACCGUCCCAUGGAAUAGUCACCAUCACUUCCCACGCUUUUCAACGAGGCGUCGAACCCUUACUUGUGCUUGCUGGGACACAUGCCGUCGUGUGGUGGCGUGUAGUGCUUGCUGGGACAGGACAAAGUGUCCCCCAGCUACUGGAGUGAGUGAGUGGGGACGUGGUGUCCCCCCCACAGUUACUGGAGUGAGUGAGUGAGUGGGGACGUGGUGUCCCCCCCACAGUUACUGGAGUGAGAGGGCUGGCACAGGUGCGACACUGUGCCAGAGAGGGCAAAGUGUACCUGGACAGGUGUAGUUAGUGGUGAGGUAACUUGAGCAUCUUCCUCCUGUGAGAGUAGCAGCAUCCACCUUCUCCGUGGAGUUAACCUCAGCUUUUGACAGCUCUUCAGUGGUGAUAUGUUAAGCAUUAUAUUUUAUACGUGAUUAAUAAAUCCAGAGACUGAAAUGCGGUACAGCAAUAUUUGAUUAAAAAUUAGAAAUUUUGUGUUCAAGCUUUUGAGAAUCAAAUCAGCGGAGACUUUGACGCUUGCGGUAGCGUUACGCUUGUGUAACCUGUAGUGACACUCCUGUGAGGGGGGGGGGCAGGUCAGUGCCCGACACGUCUUACCUGUUGGGAGCUUAUGGUGCUUGUCUGUUGCCCGUUGAUACCUGUUGAGACUGUCAGUGUGUGUCUCACUCCCCCGUUGAUACCUGUUGAGACUGUCAGUGUGUGUCUCACUCCCCCGUUGAUACCUGUUGAGACUGUCAGUGUGUGUCUCACUCCCCCGUUGAUACUUGUUGAGACUGUCAGUGUGUGUCUCACUCCCCCGUUGAUACCUGUUGAGACUGUCAGUGUGUGUCUCACUCCCCCGUUGAUACUUGUUGAGACUGUCAGUGUGUGUCUCACUCCCCCGUUGAUACCUGUUGAGACUGUCAGUGUGUGUCUCACUCCCCCGUUGAUACCUGUUGAGACUGUCAGUGUGUGUCUCACUCCCCCGUUGAUACUUGUUGAGACUGUCAGUGUGUGUCUCACUCCCCCGUUGAUACUUGUUGAGACUGUCAGUGUGUGUCUCACUCCCCCGUUGAUACUUGUUGAGACUGUCAGUGUGUGUCUCACUCCCCCGUUGAUACCUGUUGAGACUGUCAGUGUGUGUCUCACUCCCCCGUUGAUACCUGUUGUGACUGUCAGUGUGUGUCUCACUCCCCCGUUGAUACCUGUUGAGACUGUCAGUGUGUGUCACUCCCCCGUUGAUACUUGCUGUGACUGUGUGUCUCACUCUUCCUAUUAUAUAUAUAUUCCUGUAUAUAUAUCUUUCUCAUCUUCUGGUUCGCUUUCUCAUCUUAAGUUUUUGUCUCAUUCUCCAUCUUUUACAUCAAUAUAUAUGAAACAUUUGCUUCUACAUUUGAGAAAGAUCUUCUACCUUUGAGAAAUAUAUGCUUCUUCCACUGAGAAAGACCAGUUGCUACCACUGAGAAAGACCAGUUGCUACCACUGAGAAAGACCAGUUGCUACCACUGAGAAAGACAAGUUGCUACCACUGAGAAAGACCAGUUGCUACCACUGAGAAAGACCAGUUGCUACCACUGAGAAAGACCAGUUGCUACCACUGAGAAAGACCAGUUGCUACCACUGAGAAAGACCAGUUGCUACCACUGAGAAAGACCAGUUGCUACCACUGAGAAAGACCAGUUACUACCACUGAGAAAGACCAGUUGCUACCACUGAGAAAGAUCAGUUGCUACCACUGAGAAAGACCAGUUGCUACUACUGAGAAAGACCAGUUGCUGCCACUGAGAACUACUGACGUUUGGCGUGAUUUUGUGACCUGAUUAGAUUAUAUAGGAAAAGUGAUAUAUUAGUUAGGUAAGCAUGUAUGAUAUCUUCGAGCCAUGAUGUACUCUGCCGUAAUGUGAUACCUACAUGUAUGAUAUCUUCAAGCCAUGAUGUACUCUGCCAUAACGUGAUACCUACAUGUAUGAUAUCUUCAAGCCAUGAUGUACUCUGCCGUAAUGUGAUACCUACAUGUAUGAUAUCUUCAAGCCAUGAUGUACUCUGCCGUAAUGUGAUACCUACAUGUAUGAUAUCUUCAAGUAAUGAUGUACUCUGCCAUAACGUGAUACCUACAUGUAUGAUAUCUUCAAGCCAUGAUGUACUCUGCCGUAAUGUGAUACAUACAUGUAUGAUAUCUUCAAGCCAUGAUGUACUCUGCCGUAAUGUGAUACCUACAUGUAUGAUAUCUUCAAGUCAUGAUGUACUCUGCCAUAACGUGAUACCUACAUGUAUGAUAUCUUCAAGCCAUGAUGUACUCUGCCAUAAUGUGAUACCUACAUGUAUGAUAUCUUCAAGCCAUGAUGUACUCUGCCGUAAUGUGAUACCUACAUGUAUGAUAUCUUCAAGCCAUGAUGUACUCUGCCAUAAUGUGAUACCUACAUGUAUGAUAUCUUCAAGCCAUGAUGUACUCUGCCAUAAUGUGAUACCUACAUGUAUGAUAUCUUCAAGCCAUGAUGUACUCUGCCAUAACGUGAUACCUACAUGUAUGAUAUCUUCAAGCCAUGAUGUACUCUGCCAUAACGUUAUACCUACAUGUAUGAUAUCUUCAAGCCAUGAUGUACUCUGCCAUAACGUUAUACCUACAUGUAUGAUAUCUUCAAGCCAUGAUGUACUCUGCCAUAAUGUGAUAACUGUAGACUCCUCACGCAGCGUCAUGCUCAAAUACUCUAUUUAUUCUUAGUCCCAAUAUUUGUACUUUUGUAACAAUAAAAGGUCUGUAAAAUG